GUGGGGUAACGGCCCACCAAGGCGACGAUCAGUAGCCGGACUGAGAGGUUGACCGGCCACAUUGGGACUGAGACACGGCCCAGACUCCUACGGGAGGCAGCAGUGGGGAAUUUUGGACAAUGGGGGCAACCCUGAUCCAGCCAUGCCGCGUGCGGGAUGAAGGCCUUCGGGUUGUAAACUUCUUUUAACAGGGAAGAGAAGAAGACGGUACCUGUUGAAUAAGCCACGGCUAACUAC
rnacentral:rRNA from 1 species